GCCGGAGUGGCGGAACAGGCAGACGCACAGGACUUAAAAUCCUGUGGUCCGAAAGGACCGUACCGGUUCGACCCCGGUCUCCGGCACCA
rnacentral:tRNA from 1 species